UACGUAGGGUGCAGGCGUUAAUCGGAAUUACUGGGCGUAAAGCGUGCGCAGGCGGUCUUUUGAGUCAGAUGUGAAAUCCCCGGGCUUAACCUGGGAACUGCGUUUGAAACUGAAAGGCUAGAGUGUGGCAGAGGGGGGUGGAAUUCCAGGUGUAGCGGUGAAAUGCGUAGAUAUCUGGAGGAACAUCGGUGGCGAAGGCGGCAUCCUGGACCGGUAUUGACGCUGAGGCGCGAAAGCCAGGGGAGCAAACGGG
rnacentral:rRNA from 1 species